UACGGGGGGAGCAAGCGUUGUUCGGAUUUACUGGGCGUAAAGGGCGCGUAGGCGGUCAGCACAAGUCAGUUGUGAAAUCUCCGGGCUUAACUCGGAAAGGUCAACUGAUACUGUGCGACUAGAGUGCAGAAGGGGCAACUGGAAUUCUCGGUGUAGCGGUGAAAUGCGCAGAUAUCAGGAGGAACACCAGUGGCGAAGGCGGCUCGCUGGACCGGUUCUGACGCUGAGGCGCGAAAGCGUGGGGAGCAAACAGG
rnacentral:rRNA from 1 species